GGGGCUGAUUAGGUUUCGACGGGAGUAUUAGAGCAUAGAUGGCAAGUCGUAAGCUUACGUUACAAGCAAAAUUAAAUAUAACUGGAAACAGUAAUAAUCAAUUAGCUUUCGCUUAAUAAUAGAAAGCAUCUUGUUACUUUUUAUCUACGUAAAGUAGGCAGGAUUCAAUUUUAGUAGAUUAUAUUUUAGUAAUGUCUAUAGCUAAAAUGAAUUAUAUAGAAUAGUCUCUUAUCUUGGUCGUUAACUACUUGGAUAUUAGAUGAACUUAAUUAGUUAACUAAACUUGUAGAGGUUUAUGUAGCUAUACUUUCGGACAGGAGUUCGAUUCUCCUCAGCUCCACCA
rnacentral:tmRNA from 1 species